rnacentral:rRNA from 1 species
GAACGCUGGCGGCAUGCCUUACACAUGCAAGUCGAACGGCAGCACGGGAGCAAUCCGUGGUGGCGAGUGGCGAACGGGUGAGUAAUGUAUCGGAACGUACCUUCAGUGGGGGAUAACGUAGCGAAAGUUACGCUAAUACCGCAUAUUCUGUGAGCAGGAAAGCAGGGGAUCGCAAGACCUUGCGCUGAUUGAGCGGCCGAUAUCAGAUUAGCUAGUUGGUGAGGUAAAGGCUCACCAAGGCGACGAUCUGUAGCGGGUCUGAGAGGAUGAUCCGCCACACUGGAACUGAGACACGGUCCAGACUCCUACGGGAGGCAGCAGUGGGGAAUUUUGGACAAUGGGCGCAAGCCUGAUCCAGCCAUGCCGCGUGAGUGAAGAAGGCCUUCGGGUUGUAAAGCUCUUUCAGCCGGGAAGAAAACGCAUGGGUUAAUACCCUGUGUGGAUGACGGUACCGGAAUAAGAAGCACCGGCUAACUACGUGCCAGCAGCC